GACGAACCGUCCAAACGUUAUUCGGAAUCACUGGGCUUACAGAGUUCGUAGGCGGUCCAGCAAGUUGGGUGUGAAAUCCCUCAGCUUAACUGGGGAACUGCGUCUGAUACUGGAUGGCUUGGAUUUGGGAGAGGGAUGCGGAAUUCCAGGUGUAGCGGUGAAAUGCGUAGAUAUCUGGAGGAACACCGGUGGCGAAGGCGGCAUCCUGGACCAAUAUUGACGCUGAGGAGCGAAAGCCAGGGGAGCAAACGGG
rnacentral:rRNA from 1 species